rnacentral:rRNA from 1 species
UACGUAGGGGGCAAGCGUUUGUCCGGAUUUAUUGGGCGUAAAGAGCGUGUAGGCGGCCAAGCAGGUCCGCUGUGAAAACUCGAGGCUCAACCUCGAGACGUCGGUUGAAACCGUAUGGCUAGAGUCCGGAAGAGGAGAGUGGAAUUCCCGGUGUAGCGGUGAAAUGGCGCAGAUAUCAGGAAGAACACCCGUGGCUAAGGCGGCUCUCUAGUACGGUACUGACGCUGAGACGCGAAAGCGUGGGGAGCGAACAGG